AGAGUUUGAUCCUGGCUCAGGAUGAACGCUAGCGGCAGGCCUAAUACAUGCAAGUCGAGGGGCAACAGGUGUAGCAAUACAUGCUGGCGACCGGCGCACGGGUGCGUAACACGUAUGAAACCUACCCAUAACUUGGGCAUAGCCCGGAGAAAUCCGGAUUAAUAUCCAAUAAUACUACUGGAAGGCAUCUUCUGAUAGUU
rnacentral:rRNA from 1 species